rnacentral:sRNA from 1 species
ACUGCGGUUCCGGGCGCGCGGUCCGCGCCCACCUGACAGCUGCUCGCUCCGUGUUGUUAGCC